GCCCUAUGCCUGUCCUGCAGCCCCUUGAGCGCCCCCUGCCGUGCUGGCAGGUGGCCUGUGGUUCCCCCCAGGCCGCUUCCCCACAUCCCUUCUACCCCCUUCCUCUUGCUGGUUCAGGGGUGCCAGCUGCUCCGAGAAUGUUAGAACUGGGAAGGGAGCUGGAGCCGCUUCAUUUUUUAAAAGGCAUUAUUUUAAACUUGUGUAUCCAAAUUGCCCUUGGGCACGGUGGCACUGGUGUUCUGAGCACUGCCCUUUGCAGCUGCUGCUGAGGAGCUCACGCUGGGCUGGCAGUGGCCUCCCGCACUGCCCGCUGCCUUGUCCUCGGCAUUAGGUCCUGUGUUUGAUAUGCUCAUGUGAAUCUACUUUGUUAGGAACAAGAUAUUUACACGAUGGGUUCCGGAAUCUUCUUUCAGCUCCCAACCCAGCUAUAAAAUUCAGGAAAACAGUUUUCUGUUCGUUUGACCACCCCGUGUAGGUGUCGAUUGUCAGAAAGUGCAUCUUACCAGUGAGGACUCACUGGACACUGCUGAAGCGAGAGUUUUGAGCCCUGCGACGUGCUGGGGGCUGGGCGGCCUCCCUCAGCCCCAGCCCUCCGCGGCCUGGGCUCCCUCCGUGGCACUGGAGCAGGCCCUGGACCUCCCCUCUUGCGGCAGUACCCUGCAGCGUGUGUACCGGAGUGCUGUUGUAUUUCAGCUUGGUGUGUUUGCUUUUCGUUGUGUAAAACUGCUAUUCUUUUGACAAUUCAAGUGACUGUUUUCGUUUACUAUGACUUUGAAAACAAAAAAUUGUAAGAAGAAAAUUCUAAUGAUCGUGCUGUGGUUGGAGAUUUUAUUACCAAGAUGUUUACACCUUUUGCCCCUCGUUCUGGGAGCUGUUUGACUCUUUUUCCUCUUCCCUCUAAUGGCUUGUAGUCUUUCCUAUGUCAUAAUAAAGGUACAUUUUAUUCGGAAAA